rnacentral:lncRNA from 1 species
AAUAUGCAUGCUAAUCACCUAGCAAUGCAACACAACAACAACAACACAAGAAUAGACGUAUGCUCACACUCUAAGCCAUAACACAGUCUAUUCACAAAUGCAUACAUUCACAUCAUCAUGUAUACCAUCGCAUAUCAUCAACAAAAGCAUAUCAUAUCAUGCCACACAAUUAAUCAUAGUAUUAGCACACUCUACUAAUACCUAUACUAUUCAAAACAACGAGAAAUGAUCCCUACAACAUCACACCUCAGCUAAGUACAUCACUCAGCCUACACAACCAAAAACU